UGUGUGAGGAACUAUAAAACUUCAAAAUGCGGACUAAGUGCCUAAGUGAGAAGAAGAGUAGGAAGAAUAGACUUGAGUGUGAUGAGUAUUAGAGCUUCAAGGGUAAAACUAAAGAAGCGAAGGAUGGACUUGUGCAGAAAGAAGAAAAGUAGAGGGGCCAAAUUGCAAAGGAGGAAAUCAACCGUCAGGGGCCAAAAUCCAUAGAGCAGCCUUCGAUCCCCUUCGGGCCUGGCACCUCCAUCUUCUUCUUCCCUCACCCCUCCUUCUCCACCUCCGGCCGCCGCCACGGCCAGGCCGGCGUGGUAGGCGCGCCACCCAACCGUCCAUCCACUACAUCUCCCCACUCCACCAGCACCACGACCCAGCCACCAGCGCCACGCACAUCCAUCACCAACACCAAGCCCCCAUGCAGUUGUUGCCGUUUUCUUCCCUUACCUCGAUCUGUUGUUGAAUCGGGUGCUCCUCCUAUGUCCUCUGCUACUUGUUGCUUUCUUCUCCCCAAAACUGCUGCUACUCACUCUCUCCAACGCCCCCUUGCUGCUCCUCUCUCCAGCUCCCCCUUAUUGCUCCUUCUACCUUGACCUGCUGUUGCUUUCUUCUCCCCUAAAAUUGUUGCUGCUCCCUCUCCCCUCGUCUCUGCUGCUGCUCCUUUUCCCUUGCCUCGCUGCUGUAUCUCCUCCUUCUCUGAACAUCUUCUUUCAACCUGAAGCUCUCUCCCUAACGACCAGCUGCUACUUAUCUGAAUUUUAUGUAAGACAAGAUGUGUAAUGCUUUGUAUCUUCAUAUUCUAAGAGUGCUCACAACAUGCUUAUGCUUAGGUACUUGUCUUAUAGCUCUGUAAAUUAGUACUUUGCUAGUGUUUGUGUACGUACAUCCCUUUUGUUUGUGUUUCUAGCCAUCUAUUGUAAGCUCUCCUAUACAAUAAAUUUGCUCCAGUUUGUUUGUUGUUCAGUCAUUUCAGUCCCUCUUUUAGAUCUAGUACACGUGAUAUAUAUGUGUGCUUGUGUAGUGUUUACUUUCUCAAGUAAAAUGAUAAUACUAAAAAGACAGAUAGUAUAAUCUGAACCUCGCUUGUUUUGCAUUUCUUCAUUGACGAUUUUCAUAACGAUCUUAGAUAAAUUUAGGUUUAUUUUCCUGCACUUUGGGCGUAAAACCCUAGUGUAUUACACUCGAUCAUUUUGGCGCCGUUGCCGGGGACUAGCAUCGAGCUAUUGUGUUAGGCUAUAGACUAGGUUUUUCUUGUUUUAUUUUUGUGACGUUUUUAUGUGAUAUAUCUGUGACAACUAACCCGUGUUCUAGUAUAUUUCCUCUUUAUUUCUUUUUCCUUUCUACAGGUUAGAACAAUCUUCAUGGAAAUGGCAUUCUACUACGAUCAGCAUGCUUAUGUGAGCAAUAGCACAAAUAGCACCGAAAGUGUUCAAGACCUGAUAAGUAAGAUUUCCCAUCAAUUAGAUGAAUUAGCUCAGCACCGAGGAAUAGAUGUUGAGAAUGCACCUAGUUGUUAUGAUACUUAUUAUGUAGGGCAUCUUUAUGCUGCUCCUACAUGCAUAAUUGUGAAUUUUAGGACCAUUUACCCGCUAAAUGUCAGCGUGGUUACUCUUACCCUCCAGAUUGUUUUGGCAUGAGAUUCGCCCCACAACAUAGCUCAUACCACAACAAUUACUCACAUGGGUGGCCUGAAAACCAAAAUAUGUCAUAUAGGAGCAACAACCCUGAGAUCUCACCAUUUGCUUCAAGAAAUCAUAUGCAGGGAUUUAGGUAUGAACAGGAGAGCCACAACUAUGCACCACAACAAUUCUAUUUUGCUCCUACUAAUAUACCUCGGCAUCAGGAGAUGUAUCCAAUGGAGUUAAAUGGUCCUCCAUUUGGUGAGCCAACACCUCCAGCGCAUGUUGAGUAUCAAGUGCAAGUGCCUACUCAAGAUGAUUUUGACGACAUAGAGAAGCUCACACUUCUUACCCUCGAGUUCACUUGGAGCGCUCAGGAUGAUCCUAUUAGGAAGGUUAUACUAGAAGAAAUGAAGAAGAUUAGGAGUGGGAAAGAGUUAGUGGAAGAAGUGAGGAAGAUUGAGAAGAAUAUGAAUGCUGGAGUUGAGCAAGAUAGCAUACGCCAAGAGGAAGAGAAACCUCAGAUUGAAGAUGUAUUCGAAGCCAAGGCACAAGAUGAUCUAGAGCUCGAAUGCCAAGGUGAUCAAUUAGAAGAACCAUCAUCUCUCACUCCUCAAGAAGUAAAAGAAGCUGCUGUACUUGAAGAUGAAGAAGUAGAGAUUCAUUAGCCAAUUGUCAUACAAGAGUGUGAUGUAACAGGUUUAUCUAAUCCUCUUGAUGACAUGCGUCCUUAUGAUUUCUUUGCUUCUACCUUGCAUUUCAUGACACCAUCAUUGAAAGUAGACUUGAAAAAUUAUUUGCUUGGAGAUGAUGAUACUUAGCCUGUUAGUGACAUUGCUCAUAUUUCUAUUGAUGAUACUUAUUCUCCUCGUGCUAGACCUAUGCUUAAUGAUAAAUAUCAUCACCAUGGUAGUAUUGAGCUUGCUGAUUCCUACUAUCCUAAGCAUGUGCUUUAUUGCUAUGGUUAUAUAACUGGGUACUGUAUUGAUGAUUUAGAGGGCAUUGUCCCAACCGCUUGCAUUGCCUUUGUUGUUGAGUGCUCUUUCAGGUUUUUGCUUGUGCACGAUCUACUACAUGGUGACCAGGUUCGAGGUGACAUUCCUUGGGGACAUGGUGGAUGCAAAGCAUGGUGAAGAGGAGAAGCAAGGGGCACACACGAAAAAGAGUGAAGCUAGAGCGGGCAUUAGAUUAGCAAGAGCAAAAGAGCUGCAGUUGGUGAGCUGAUCGAGGGAGUGCUACAUCAUCCAAGUCCGAAAAGCGUGUGAGGCACUAUAAAACUUCAAAAUGCGGACUAAGUGGCUAAGUGAGAAGAAGAAUAGGAAGAAUGGACUUGAGUGUGAUGAAUAUUAGACCUUCAAGGGUCAAACUAAAGAAGCGGAGUAUCAACUUAUGCAUAAAGAAGAAAAGUAGAGGGGCCAAAUUGUAAAGGAGGAAAUCAACCGUCAGGGGUCAAAUCCCUAGAGCAGCCUUUGAUACGUCUUCAUUGUAUCUACUUUUCCAAAUUCUUUUGCUCUUGUUUUGGACUCUAAUUUGCA